rnacentral:rRNA from 1 species
UACGUAGGGCGCAAGCGUUGUCCGGAAUUAUUGGGCGUAAAGAGCGUGUAGGCGGUUUGGUAGGUCCGUUGUGAAAACUCGAGGCUCAACCUCGAGACGCCGAUGGAAACCAUCAGACUAGAGUCCGGAAGAGGAGAGUGGAAUUCCUGGUGUAGCGGUGAAAUGCGCAGAUAUCAGGAGGAACACCGGUGGCGAAGGCGGGUCUCUGGGCAGUAACUGACGCUGAGGAGCGAAAGCGUGGGGAGCGAACAGG